UUCUAUGAUGGCGUGUAGUGGGCAAUCCUUGCGAUUGGCUGAUUUACCUUGUGUUCCAGUUUCUCACCCCACUACACGCUAUCGCCAAA
rnacentral:antisense_RNA from 1 species